rnacentral:rRNA from 1 species
UACGGAGGGUCCAAGCGUUAUCCGGAUUUAUUGGGUUUAAAGGGUUCGUAGGCGGAAUAUUAAGUCAGUGGUGAAAUCCUACAGCUUAACUGUAGAACUGCCAUUGAUACUGAUGUUCUUGAGUAUAAUUGGAGUUGGCGGAAUGUGUCAUGUAGCGGUGAAAUGCUUAGAUAUGACCCAGAACACCGAUCGCGAAAGCAGCCAACUAAGUUGUAACUGACGCUGAGGAACGAAAGCGUGGGGAGCGAACAGG